rnacentral:rRNA from 1 species
UACGGGAGGGGCAAGCGUUGUUCGGAAUUACUGGGCGUAAAGGGCUCGUAGGCGGCCAACUAAGUCGGAUGUGAAAUCCCCAGGCUUAACCUGGGAACUGCAUCCGAUACUGGAUGGCUUGAAUCCGGGAGAGGGAUGCGGAAUUCCAGGUGUAGCGGUGAAAUGCGUAGAUAUCUGGAGGAACACCGGUGGCGAAGGCGGCAUCCUGGACCGGCAUUGACGCUGAGGAGCGAAAGCCAGGGGAGCAAACGGG